UUCAUUGUUGCAUUUGGUCUGAUGCUACAUAUGCUUAGCUCCUGAUGUUGCCGCUGGAAUGCUUGGCCCCGUGAUUGCUGCUUGCAGCUAUAUUUAGGGGCCAAGCACCGAAGGUGCGUAGGCACCUAUUGUUUUCGUUGGCGUUAUUAUUAGGGGCCAAGCACCGAAGGUGCGAAGGCACCUAUUGUGUUUGUUGGCGUUAUUAGGGGCCAAGCACCGAAGGUGCGUAGGCACCUAUUGUAAUCGUUGGCGUUAUUAUUAUUCUGCUUCUUCUUCUUCUUCUUCUUCUUCUUCUUCCGCCGCAAGUCUAUGGCAGCCCAUAGAACCGAUUGCGGGAAAGUUGUAUAAUUUGGCACACUGAUAGAGGACAGUCCCAACAUUAACUAUAGCUAAUUUGAAGUCUCUAACUCCUACUCUCUAGCGCCACCACUUGUCCAAACUUUCAAUGUUUGUAUGCUAAUAACUUUUGAACCGUAAGCCAGAAAAUGGAAAUUCUUUUUUCCUCUGAAUCCUUGGCUCAUGCCAAGUCGAAUGAACCCCAAAAUUCAAAAAUCGCAAGGUUUAGUUUUUUCGCUAUUUUCAAUUUUUCGAAAAACCUACUUUUUCGAACUCGUGCUAGACGGUUAGUCCGAUUGCCACGAAAAUUGGCUCAGAUCAUCUUCAGAUCAUGCUGGCAAAAAGUUAUGGAAUUCAAGUUGAUUCGUCCAACCAUUGUCGAAUGACACGUAAACAAAUUUGACGAAAAGCACGCAAAAAUGCACUUGAGGCUAUAUCUCAGCAACGGUUUGGCAUAUUGAAACCAAACUUGGUGUGUGUUAUAAUAAGCAUGACCUGAGACUACCUGCAGUGUUUCGACACAGCGCCACCUAGUGGUCAGGAGAUAUGAAAAAUGCAUAUUUUGGCUUAUAUCUUCUGAAUGGUUUGGCCAAAAAUCACACAACUGGUCUCUUUAGAUUCAGUGAGUCAUGUCGAGUCGUAUGAUAUGCAAAUUUCCUGUGUCAGCCAUUUUAGGCGUCGGCCAUUUUGAAUUAUGUUUUAAAAUGCUGUAUUUUUUCAACGCAGCAUCAAAUCGUUUCGCAAAUAAUUACAAAAAUAUUCGGCUCCAUGCCCUGAAUGUACUCAAAAAGUUUGGUGGCAGCGCCACCUUGUGGUCAAGAGUUAUAAUGAAUUAUAACAAAAAUGCUAAUAACUUUUGAGUAAAUUAGACAAUUGAAAUGCAAAUGGUCUCCCCGUAUUCUUUGGGUCAUGCCGAGAACAUAGAUACCAAUUAUGCCAAAAUUGGCCAUACUUCCUGUCCGCCAUUUUGAUUAAUGUUGAAAACCUACUUUUUCGAACUCCUCCUAGACCGUUAGUCCGAUUUUCACCAAAUUUGACGUGAAUCAUCUUCAGACCAUGCUGGCAAAAAGUUAUGGAUUUCGUGUCGAUAUACAAAACGGUUCUGAUUUAGCGCAUCAACGAAUUUGCUGGAAGGGUGCCAAAAUGCAUUUGAGGCUGUAUCUCUGCAACGCUUUGACAUUUUUGCACCAAACUUUGUAUGUGUCAUCGCCACCUGACACUGACCAUGCCACAUAAAUUUGGUAACAGCGCCACCUAUUGGUCAAGAGUAAUAAACCAUUCAUUAACCAUGAGUAAUUACACUUUUUAAAAUGCUAAUAACUUUUUAGUCCAUUAGCCUAUUGCAACGAAACUGGGCUCAAAAUAUUCCCUGGCUUAUGCCGAUAACAUAGAUACCAAAUAUGCCAGUGUUUACUGAAGUUCCGGUCCACCAUUUUGAUUUAUGUGGAAAACCUACUUUUUCGAACUCCUCAUGAACCGUAUGUCCAAUUUUCACCAAAUUCGAAUCAGAUGAUCUUCAGACUAUGUUGACACAAAGUUAUGGAUUUUGUGUCGAUAGACAAAACCGUUUUCGCAUACCAAAGCGACGAAGUUGAAACACAAUGACAAAAUGACACUUGAGGCUGCAUCUCUGGAAUGCUGUGGCAUAUUAACACCAAACUUUGUGUGUGUCAUUGAAAAGUCAAACAGAGUACACCAAAUUGAUUUCAUAACAGUGCCACCUAUUGGUCAAACUUUAUAAGCCAAGUAAUCAUGCUACUAGAGGUGGUAUUAUGAUUUUUUUUUGCCAUUUCAAUUACAAUAAUUCCAAAAUUACUAUUAUUGCUCAUUAAUGUAUUUGGUGUGAUGCUUCAUGCCAUGCUUAGCUCCUACAUUUGCCGUUGGAGUGCUUGGCCCCGUAAUUGCUGCUUGCAGCUAUAUUUAUUAUUAUUAGGGGCCAAGCACCGAAGGUGCGUAGGCACCUAUUGUAAUCGUUGGCGUUAUUAUUAUUCUGCUUCUUCUUCUUCUUCUUCUUCUUCUUCUUCCGCCGCAAGUCUAUGGCAGCCCAUAGAACCGAUUGCGGGAAAGUUGUAUAAUUUGGCACACUGAUAGAGGACAGUCCCAACAUUAACUAUAGCUAAUUUGAAGUCUCUAACUCCUACUCUCUAGCGCCACCACUUGUCCAAACUUUCAAUGUUUGUAUGCUAAUAACUUUUGAACCGUAAGCCAGAAAAUGGAAAUUCUUUUUUCCUCUGAAUCCUUGGCUCAUGCCAAGUCGAAUGAACCCCAAAAUUCAAAAAUCGCAAGGUUUAGUUUUUUCGCUAUUUUCAAUUUUUCGAAAAACCUACUUUUUCGAACUCGUGCUAGACGGUUAGUCCGAUUGCCACGAAAAUUGGCUCAGAUCAUCUUCAGACCAUGCUGGCAAAAAGUUAUGGAAUUCAAGUUGAUUUGUCCAACCAUUGUCGAAUGACACGUAAACAAAUUUGACGAAAAGCACGCAAAAAUGCACUUGAGGUUAUAUCUCAGCAACGGUUUGGCAUAUUGAGACCAAACUUGGUGUGUGUUAUAAUAAGCAUGACCUGAGACUACCUGCAGUGUUUCGACACAGCGCCACCUAGUGGUCAGGAGAUAUGAAAAAUGCAUAUUUUGGCUUAUAUCUUCUGAAUGGUUUGGCCAAAAAUCACACAACUGGUCUUUUUAGAUUCAGUGAGUCAUGUCGAGUCGUAUGAUAUGCAAAUUUCCCGUGUCAGCCAUUUUAGGCGUCGGCCAUUUUGAAUUAUGUUUUAAAAUGCUGUAUUUUUUCAACGCAGCAUCGUAUCAUUUCGCAAAUAAUUACAAAAAUAUUCGGCUCCAUGCCCUGAAUGUACUCAAAAAGUUUGGUGGCAGCGCCACCUUGUGGCCAAUAGUUAUAAUGAAAUAUCACAUAAAUGCUAAUAACUUUUGAAUAAAUUAGUCUAUUAAAAUUAAAAUGGUCUCGCUAUAUUCUGUGGGUCAUGCCGAGAGUAUUGAUACCAAUAAUGUGAAAAUUGGCCUUACUUCCUGUCCGCCAUUUUGCUUAAUGUUGAAAACCUACUUUUUCGAACUCCUCCUAGACCGUUAGCCCAAUUUUCACCAAAUUUGACGUGCAUCAUCUUCAGACCAUGCUGGCAAAAAGUUAUGGAUUUUGUGUCGAUAUACGUAAUGGUUCUCAUUUAGCGCAUCAACGAAUUUGCUGGAAGGGUGCCAAAAUGCAUUUGAGGCUGUAUCUCUGCAACACUUUGACAUAUUUGCACCAAACUUUGUAUGUGUCAUCGCCACCUCACACUGACCAUGCCACAUAAAUUUGGUAACAGCGCCACCUAUUGGUCAAGAGUAAUAAACCAUUCAUUAACCAUGAGUAAUUACACUUUUUAAAAUGCUAAUAACUUUUUAAUGCAUUAGCCUAUUUGAAGGAAACUGGGCUCAAAAUAUUCCCUGGCUUAUGCCGAUAACAUAGAUACCAAAUAUACCACGGUAAGCUGAACUUCCGGUCCGCCAUUUUGAUUUAUGUUGAAAACAUACUUUUUCGAACUCCUGAUCAACCGUAUGUCCGAUUUUCACCAAAUUCGAAUCAAAUGAUCUUCAGGCUAUACUGAUUCAAAGUUAUGGAUUUUGAGUCGAUAGACAAAACCGUUUUCGCAUACCACAUCGACGAAUUUGAGGCACAAUGAGAAAAUGACACUUGAGGCUGUAUCCCUGGAAUGCUUUGGCAUAUUGACACCAAACUUUGUGUGUGUCAUUGAAAAGACACACAGAGUACACCAAAUUGAUUUUAUAACAGUGUCACCUAUUGGUCAAGCUUGAUAAACCAAGUAAUCAUGCUACUAGAGGUGGUAUUGGUGUUUUUUUUUUUUUUUUUUUUUGCCAUUUCAAAUACAAUAAUUCCAAAAUUGCUGUUAUUGCUCAUUAAUGUAUUUGGUGUGAUGCUUUAUGCGAUGCUUAGCUACUACAUUUGCCGUUGGAGUGCUUGGCCCCGUAAUUGCUGCUUGCAGCUAUAUUUAGGGGCCAAGCACCGAAGGUGCGUAGGCACCUAUUGUUUUCGUUGGCGUUAUUAUUCUUCUUCUUCUUCUUCCGCCGCAAGUCUAUGGCAGCCCAUAGAACCGUUUGCGGGAAAGUUGUAUAAUUUGGCACACUGAUAGAGGACAGUCCCAACAUUAACUAUAGCAAAUUUGAAGCCUCUAACUCCUACUCUCUAGCGCCACCACUUGUCCAAACUUUCAAUGUUUGUAUGCUAAUAACUUUUGAACCGUAAGCCAGAAAAUGGAAAUUCUUUUUUCCUCUGAAUCCUUGGCUCAAGCCAAGUCGAAUGAACCCUAAAAUUCAAAAAUCGCAAGGUUUAGUUUUUUCGCUAUUUUCAACUUUUCGAAAAACUUACUUUUUCGAACUCGUCCUAGACGGUUUGUCCGAUUUUCACGAAAAUUGGCUCAGAUCAACAACAGACCAUGCUGGCAAAAAGUUAUGGAAUUCAAGUUGAUUCGUCCAACCGUUCUCGAAUGACACGUGAAAAAAUAUGAUGAAAAGCACGCAAAAAUACACGUGAGGCUAUAUCUCCGCAACGGUUUGGCGUAUUGAGACCAAACUUGGUGUGUGUUAUAAUAAGCAUGACCUGAGACUACCUGCAGUGUUUCGACACAGCGCCACCUAGUGGUCAGGAGAUAUGAAAAAUGCAUAUUUUGGCUUAUAACUUCUGAUUGGUUUGGCAAAAAAUCACACAACUGGUCUCUUUAGAUUCAGUGAGUCAUGGCGAGUCGAAUGAUAUCCAAUUUUCCUGUGUCGGCCAUUUUAAGCGUCGGCCAUUUUGAAUUAUGUUUUAAAAUGCUGUAUUUUUUGAACGCAGCAUCGUAUCGUUUCGCAAAUAAUUACAAAACUAUUCGGCUCCAUGCCCUGAAGGUACUCAAAAAGUUUGAUGGCAGCGCCACCUUGUGGCCAAUAGUUAUAAUGAAAUAUCACAUAAAUGCUAAUAACUUUUGAAUAAAUUAGACUAUUAAAAUUAAAAUGAUCUCGCUAUAUUCUGUGGGUCAUGCCGAGAGCAUUGAUACCAAUUAUGUGAAAAUUGGCCUUACUUCCUGUCCGCCAUUUUGCUUAAUGUUGAAAACCUACUUUUUCAAACUCCUCCUAGACCGUUAGUCCAAUUUUCACCAAAUUUGACGUGAAUCAUCUUCAGACCAUGCUGGCAAAAAGUUAUGGAUUUCGUGUCGAUAUACGUAACGGUUCUCAUUUAGCGCAUCAACGAAUUUGCUGGAAGGGUGCCAAAAUGCAUUUGAGGCUGUAUCUCUGCAACACUUUGACAUAUUUGCACCAAAUUUUGUAUGUGUCAUCGCCACCUCACACUGACCAUGCCACAUAAAUUUGGUAACAGCGCCACCUAUUGGUCAAGAGUAAUAAACCAUUCAUUAACCAUGAGUAAUUACACUUGUAAAAAUGCUAAUAACUUUUUAUUGCAUUAGCCUAUUUGAAUGAAACUGGGCUCAAAAUAUUCCCUGGCUUAUGCCGAUAACAUAGAUACCAAAUAUACCAUAGUAAGCUGAACUUCCGGUCCGCCAUUUUGAUUUAUGUUGAAAACCUACUUUGUCGAACUCCUCAUCAACCGUAGGUCCGAUUUUCACCAAAUUCGAAUCAAAUGAUCUUCAGACUAUGCUGACUCAAAGUUAUGGCUUUUGAGUCGAUAGACAAAACCGUUUUCGCAUACCACAUCGACGAAUUUGAGGCACAAUGAGAAAAUGACACUUGAGGCUGUAUCCCUGGAAUGCUUUGGCAUAUUGACACCAAACUUUGUGUGUGUCAUUGAAAAGUCACACAGAGUACACCAAAUUGAUUUUAUAACAGUGCCACCUAUUGGUCAAGCUUGAUAAGCCAAGUAAUCAUGCUACUAGAGGUGGUAUUAUAAUUUUUUUUGCCAUUUCAAUUACAAUAAUUCCAAAAUUGCUGUUAUUGCUCAUUAAUGAAUUUGGUGUGAUGCUUCAUGCGAUGCUUAGCUCCUACAUUUGCCGUUGGAGUGCUUGGCCCCGUAAUUGCUGCUUGCAGCUAUAUUUAGGGGCCAAGCACCGAAGGUGCGAAGGCACCUAUUGUGUUUGUUGGCGUUAUUAUUAGGGGCCAAGCACCGAAGGUGCGAAGGCACCUAUUGUGUUUGUUGGCGUUAUUAUUAUUAUUCUUCUUCUUCCACCCCAAGUCUAUGGUAGCCCAUAGAACCGAUUGCGGGAAAGUUGUAUAAUUUGGCACACUAAUAGAGGACUGUCUGAACAUUAACCGUAGCAAAUUUGAAGUCUCUAACUCAAACUCUCUAGCGCCACCAAUUGUCUAAACUUUCAAAAACUUGAUGCUAAUAACUCUUGAACCGUAAGCCACAAAAUGAAAAUUCUUUUUUCCUGUGAUUCCUUGGCUCAUGCCGAGUCGAAUGGACACCGAAAUUCAAAAAUCGCAAGGCUUAGUUUUUUCGCUAUCGUCAAUUGUUCGUAAAACCUACUUUUUCGAACUCGUCCUAGGCCGUUGCACCGAUUGUCACGAAAAUUGAAUCAGAUCAUCUUCAGACCAUGCUGGCAAAAAGUUAUGGAAUUCAAGUUGAUUUCUCAAACCGUUUCCGAAUAGCUCAUGAACGAAUUCUUUGAAAAGCACGCAAACGUGAACGUGAGGCUAUAUCUCCGCAACGGUUUGGCCUAUUGAGACCAAUCUUGGUGGGUCUUAUAACAACCAUUCCCUGGGACUACCCGCAGUGUUUCGGCGCUGUGCCCCCUAGUGGUCAGGAGAUAUGAAAAAUGCAUGUUUUUGCUCAUAACUUCUGAACGGUUUUGCCAAAAAUCACAAAAGUGGUGUCUUUAGAUUCAGUGCAUCAUUCCGAGUCGAAUGAUACCGAAUUUUCCCAAUUCGGCCAUUUUGGGCGUCGGCCAUUUUGAAUUUAGUUGUAAAUUGCUGUAUCUUAAGAAUGAAGUUCCGUAUCGUUUCGCAAAUAAUUACAAAAAUGUCCGGCUCCAUGCCCUGAAUGUACACAAAAAAAUUGGGGGCAGCGCCACCUUGUGGUCAAUAGUUAUAACGAUUUUUCGAAAAAUGCUAAUAACUUUUGCAUACAUUAGCCUAUUGUAACAAAGCUGAUGUUGAUAGAUUCCUUGGGUCAUGCCGAGAACAACGAUACCCCAUUUGUCAAUUUUGGCAAAAUUUCCUGUCCGCCAUUUUGAUUCAUGUUGAAAACCUACUUUUUCGAACUCCUCCUAGACCGUUGCUCAGAUUUUCACCAAAUUCGAUUUGGAUCAUCUUCAGACCAUGCUGGCAAAAAGUUAUGGAAUUUGUGUCGAUACACGUAACCGUUUUCAAUUAGCGUACCAACGAAUUUGCUGGAAAGAUGCCAAACUGCAUCUGAGGCUGUAUCUCUGCAAAGGUUGGAGAUAUUUACACAAAACUUAAUAUGUGACAUUGUCACAUCACAUUGACCACGCCACAUCAUUUUGGUCACAGCGCCACCUAUUGGUCAAGAGUAAUAAACCAAUCAAUAACCGCUAAUUAUUACAUUUCCAAUAAUGCUAAUAACUUUUGAUUGCAUUAGCCUAUUAUCAUGAAACAUGUCUCAAAAUGUUCCUUGGGACAUGCCGACAACAUACAUACCAAUUAUGUCAUAUUAAGCAAAACUUCCUGUCCGCCAUUUUGAUUCAUGUUGAAAACCUUUUUUUUUAAACUCAUCCUCAACCGUUUGUCUGAUUUUCACCAAAAUUGAAUCAGAUCAUCUUCAGACCGUGCUGACAAAAAGUUAUGGAUUUCGUGUCAAUAGACGAAACCGUUUUUGAACAGCGCUGCUUC